GCUUAGCUCAGCAGCUAAAAGCACCUGCUUUCCACACAGAAGGUCCCAGGUUCAAAUCCCCGGCAUCUGCA